rnacentral:rRNA from 1 species
UACAGAGGGUGCGAGCGUUAAUCGGAAUUACUUGGGCGUAAAGGGUGCGUAGGCGGUUAUAUUAGUGUGAUGUGAAAGCCCUGGGCUUAACCUAGGAAGUGCAUCACAAACGGUAUAACUGGAGUAUAUGAGAGGGUGGCGGAAUUUCCGGUGUAGCGGUGAAAUGCGUAGAGAUCGGAAGGAACGUCGAUGGCGAAGGCAGCCACCUGGCAUAAUACUGACGCUGAGGCACGAAAGCGUGGGUAGCGAACAGG